CCCUUAGAUGUUCUGGGCUGCACACGUGCUACACUGGCAGGUUCAGCGAGCUUCAUGCCCUGAUCUGAAAGGAAUGGGAAAUCUUUUCAAAACCUGCCGUGCUUGGGAUAGAUGUUUGCAAUUAUUCAUCUUCAACGAGGAUUGCCUUGUAAGCGCACGUCAUCAGCGUGCAUUGAUUACGACCCUGUAUUCUGUACACACCGCCCGUCGCUCCUACCGAUUGAAGUUUUCGGUGAGUUGACAGGAGGAUUUUUUUGAAACUGGUUCGCCAGUGGAUUUUAGAUCCAAAUGCCAACGAAUCGAUGGCUUUAGAGGAAGGAGAAGUCGUAACA
rnacentral:rRNA from 1 species